rnacentral:rRNA from 1 species
UACGUAGGGGGCAAGCGUUGUCCGGAUUUAUUGGGCGUAAAGAGCUCGUAGGUGGUUUGCUGCGUCCGCUGUGAAAACCCAAGGCUUAACCUUGGGCUUGCAGUGGAUACGGGCAGACUAGAGGUAGGUAGGGGAGAAUGGAAUUCCCGGUGUAGCGGUGAAAUGCGCAGAUAUCAGGAGGAACACCGGUGGCGAAGGCGGAUCUCUGGGCCAUUACUGACGCUGAGGAGCGAAAGCGUGGGGAGCGAACAGG